AGCAACCAUCAGGCCUCCCAGAUUGUAUCAAGGAAUUGAAACUUAGCAGAUCAUGGCUUUUGGACAAUGAGAUGCCAUACGCCUCAUCAAUCACUAUUUCCUAAUCAUCCACCUGUUUCCUGUUGACCAACUUCUCUUCUUUACCUCUCCCUGCUUCCUAUUUUCCCACACAUAGUUACAUUUUUUCCCUGCUAUAUAAACCCCUAAUUUUAGUAAAUCAGGGAGAUGGUUUGAGACUGAUCUCCCAUUGCCUCACCUGCAACACCUGAUGAAAGCCUUCUUUCCUGGCAAUACUCAUCAUCUCAGUGAUUGGCUUUCUGUGUAGUGAGCAGCAGAACCUAGACUGGACCCCUGGUGUUUUGUAAGAAAGAAUGAGAUAAUACUGCGAUGAAUAUUUUGUGACGUAUUUCCAUAUCCACAUAUAUGACAGCUUCUCUAGGUUGUGUGUCUCAGAAGAGAAAUAAUGUAUCAUAGAUUUUGGAAGAAGCACGAAAAUGAUUUACUGAUUUAGGAACUGGGUGGAGUAGACCACAAAAAGACAAAUCAAAAACAUCUGGAAUGAACUAGUUGAGAGAGAAAAAGAGAGAGCAAGAAAAAAAGCAGGAGCCGGCAAGAGGGAGCCUCAGCCAACACUACAUCAGAGGCACAUUGUGGAUGGAGGAAAUGAGUUUAGUCAAGCCAGCUGUGACUUCAAAGGGGCUGCUCUCCCAGAGAACAGUGAGAAAGGGUUCCCCCUUCAGUGAAGACUGCAAAGUUCAGCCAGCGCCAACCCAAAGGGAAUGGACUCCAGGAAGGGGCAAAUUACAUUCAACAUACAAGAAAGAAUAUUUUCCUUCAUGAAGUGGCUGUGACAGUCUGAAGAGGAAGGAAAAUGACAAAAAAGAAAGGGCCAGUACGUGGAAAAUGCGGAAAUUGGAACUUACUAUAAGUAACUAAUUCAGAAAUCAGGCUGGCAGAAGUGUUAUACAUUCACUGGAAGAAAUUGGUGAAUAUAUGGAAAACAUAAAUGUUAUGUAUCCUGGAACUUAAAAUAAAAAUUAAUAAUAAAAAAUGUUAUCUCUCCCAAGCACUCAUUUGAUGCUUGAAUCCUCUCUAUGACAUCCUUACCAAGGAUUUGUUCUUCUUAUGCUUGGGUACUUCAACUGAUGAGAAUCUCACUAGCUCAGGAUGCAGUUUGCUUUCUUUUAGAUAGCUCUGUUAGAGCUGCCUUCUUCCAGGGCUGAACACUUCCAUAAUUUAAAUUCCAUUUAUUAGUUUUAGUCCUGCCCCUUGGGAACUCGUAGCAAAGAUACUUACAUAUUAAUGUGACAUUUUUCAGGUACUUGAGGUUAGUAAUUAUGUAGCAUAUGACAUAGAUUAAACUCAUAGACUCUGGAAACAAACUACUUGCCUUCCCUUCAAAUUCUUAUUCUGCCACUUACUUACUAUGUGACCUCCAGAGAGUUAUUUACUAUCUCUGUAACUUUAUUUCUUUAUCUAUAUAAAAAGAUAUAAUAAUAGCAGUACAUCAAAGGGCUUUUAUAAGGAGUCCAUGAAUUAAUAUAUGUAGAUGUGCCUGGAACACGGUAAGUGCUCUAAAAGUUUUCACUAUUACUAAUCAUCAUCAUUAUUAUACAGAUCUUGUCAGAUAUCGGACCUAGGCCAUCUUUCUAAGUCUUUACUCAUUCAUUAAGUGAGCUCAUUCACUCCCAUGGCUUCAAUCACCAUCUAUAUGAUUAUGAAAAAUCUAUUUUCCUCCUGAGCCAAGAGCUAAAUGUAAGUGACCAGUUAUGGAUACAGGAAUUGCUCUGGCCACCAUAAUUUGGGUGGAAAUGGUGCAUACCACUUCCAGUUCUUGCCCCUUAAAAUACCAUGAGAAAUCUUGCACUCCUUUCUCCUAGUUCAUCAGCUAACUGAAUGCAGAGAAACCAGUGGAGGACUCCAAGGAAAUUCCAAAGAGUGGUUGAACCACGGGUUGGAAGAAGUCUAGAUCCCUGAGUCAAUGUUUGGAGAGGAGCUGCCGAGGAGAGCCACCAGAGAGGGACACAUGAGCAAGAAAUAAACAUUUCUUCUGUUAAAACAUUGAGAUUUUAUAGCCCAUCAUGACUAAUCCAAUGAGACCCUAGUGUAGAUCUUUUGCUUAGUCUUCGCUUCUGAGAUCUAGAACUAUAUAUUUCAUUUGCUAAUCACCAUUUCUACAUGAACCCUCAAAUAGGGUAAUAGGUAAACUCAGAGUUUCUAAGAUUAGACUGUGUUGAAAUCUUAGUCCUUCCAGGUACAGCUAUAUGACUCAAUGUGUGUGUGGGGGCGGGGGCAGGGGGGUUAAAUAAACUAUUCAUAACUGUAUCUACUUAAAAGUAAUAAGAAAAUGAAAUGAGCAUAUACAUAUAUAUAAAACAGUUAUCGGCACAUAGUAAAUGCUCAGUAAUUGUCAGGUAAUACAGUUAUUAUGACCAUCCCACUCCAAAUUUGCUCUUUCCCCAGGUUUUUUAUGUUGAUAAAUGGUACCACCAUCCAAUAGUUGUUAAAAUUAGAAAUUUGCAACUUUAUCUUGGAUCACUUUUUUUAUCCUCCCACAUGGAUAAAGUCAAUCAAUAACUGAUUGAUUACACUCCUUCAGUAUUUUUCAAAUCCAUUUGCUUAACUCUCUCCUCUUCUAUUCUACACUUUUCAUCCUAGUUAAAGCCACCAGCCUAUGUAACUUUAUUAUAUUUGCGUCCUUACUAGUCUUUUCAAAUCCAUCCUUGCACCCUCCCAAUUCAUGCUUUAUGUGGAAAUGUAGGCAUUUUUUAAAAAAUUCAAAUCAAAUCUUGCUGCUCAAAAUUUUAAAUGCAUCAACACCGAUUGCUCUUUGGUGCCACCACAUUCCUGACCCAUUACUUCAGCACCCCCUCAAACCCACCACAGGACUUUAUUUCUACAAUUCAGCCACACUGGACUUUUGUCGGUGUCAGAAAAGUGCCAUAGAUUGUCCCAUCUUUGAUGUUAUCAUGUGUUGGUUACUUUUGCUUAGAAUAAACUUUCUCCCCAUCCCAGUUUACCUAAUUAAUUCCUGACCACUCUUUACAUUUCUGCUUAAAUGCUAUACUCUCCAGAAAGCCCUCUUAGCAAUCUCUGCCCACACUUCUUAAAGCUAUGCCUACAUAGCCCCCACCUUAUUUCUUCAUUAAACUCUUUGCACUUGCCAUUAUUUGUAUAAUUAUGUUUUCCCAGCUAACCAGGAGACUUUGUGAGGGCAGAGACCUCAUAUGUAUGGCUCACUGCCUGGUAUAGACAGUAUAUUGGCUUAUACGAAGGAGGAGUUUAUUAAAUACAGUAAAUUUUUUUAAGUGUGAAUAUGAGUCUGUUAAAUGACUGUGUGUAUAUGUACCCAAUGUAAAGUUUUAUUUGGUUCGGUCUAGAAAAAUGUCCUACAGCCAAUUCAUGUACCUAAUUAAAUUCACUUACAAAUUUAGGAAACUCAGCACCUGCCCUAUUUGAGUUUAAAACUAGUUGAUUUGAUAGACAUAUAAAAUAAAAACUAUACUAUAGUAUCAUCCAUGCUGUCAUAAUAGAAUUAUCUCAAAACCUCCAUUGAUGUACUAUUUGGG
rnacentral:lncRNA from 1 species